rnacentral:lncRNA from 1 species
UUUGGCAUGGAGAUAAGGGGUCCCCCUCUUUAUGCCCAAAUACUAAUUUUUUAUUCAAGAAUAGUAGUUCUCGGUUAUCUAUAAUAACCGGAUAUAACUAUCCCCGCCAAUACCUCCAUUUUAUAUAUAUAACUACCAAUUUUCAUCCAAACGCUAUUUUUCUUAUUCCUAUACUUGUACCUAUUCCUGUAAUAACUAGUUCUUGCUUAUAUCCGAACCAAAAGCUAUCUUAGAGUAUGACUACUAUACUUUUAUGUGUACGAUUGCUUUCGUACUCAUAAAUUAUUUUUGAUGAUAAAAUUUUUGAUUGACGAUCCAUAACGUUAAACAUGAGUUAUAGCAUUUGAAAUUUGUAGGAACCAAAUUUUAUAAAUUUUUUGACAUCAUUUCUCUUAUGAUUAAAAGAUCUCAAUUCUAACAAUUUUUAACGGCAGAUAUGGAAUACUUGCUAAUUUAACGAUAUAAAAGAAUUGAAAUUAGUUAAAAUUUUGAUAGAAAAUUUUAUUCGCUAUCUUGAUAAAGAUCAAUAACUCCGACCUUGAAUUGAAGAAUCCGAUCAUUAAUUUGUAGAACGUUGUUUAAUUUUGACCAUUUAUUUUAUGCUCGCUUGAUGGACUUUAUUAUAAUUUCAAAAAAUUAAAAAAAUUUUUCCUACAUACUUCAAAUGCUCUAAAUCAUAUUUAAUAGUGCAGAUCAUUGAUUCAGAAGUUUUAUUAGAAAAAAUAACUAAUGAAUACGAAAGGUUCUAUACUCAUAAAAGUAUAGCAACCCUACUCUCUCUCUCUCUCUCUCUAUAUAUAUAUAUACAUUAACAAUUAUUUAUGUUUAAAAAUUAAAAAUUUUGAAACUAAUGUAUGAUUUAUAAGAAACAAACGUGUCGAACUUAUGCUUUUUUGUCUUUCUUUUUUUAUUACGGUCGAGUCCCAGUGAUCGACCCGUGACAGGAUGCUUUUAAAUAUUGUUAAAUAUUUUU